rnacentral:tRNA from 1 species
GGAAGAGCGACAUCUCCCGGUGGGGUGCCCGGACUUCAAAUCCGGUGGAUCCUGCUAAUUGCAGGUUCGGUGGGUUCGACUCCUACCUCUUCCGCCA